UACAGAGGGGGCGAGCGUUGUUCGGAAUUACUGGGCGUAAAGGGCGCGUAGGCGGCCUUCUAAGUCGAACGUGAAAUCCCCGGGCUCAACCCGGGAACUGCGUCCGAUACUGGGAGGCUUGAAUCCGGGAGAGGGAUGUGGAAUUCCAGGUGUAGCGGUGAAAUGCGUAGAUAUCGGGAGGAACAUCUGUGGCGAAGGCGACACCCUGGACCAGCACUGACACUGAGGCACGAAAGCGUGGGGAGCAAACAGG
rnacentral:rRNA from 1 species